rnacentral:rRNA from 1 species
UACAGAGGUCUCAAGCGUUGUUCGGAUUCAUUGGGCGUAAAGGGUGCGUAGGUGGCGCCGUAAGUCGGGUGUGAAAUUUCGGAGCUUAACUCCGAAACUGCAUUCGAUACUGCGGUGCUUGAGGACUGGAGAGGAGACUGGAAUUUAUGGUGUAGCAGUGAAAUGCAUAGAGAUCAUAAGGAAGACCAGUGGCGAAGGCGGGUCUCUGGACAGUUCCUGACACUGAGGCACGAAGGCCAGGGGAGCAAACGGG